GUGCCAGCAGCCGCGGUAAGACGAGCUCUCCAAACGUUAUUCGGUAUCACUGGGCUUAAAGAGUUCGUAGGCGGCUCAUUAGGUGGGGUGUGAAAGCCCUCGGCUCAACCGAGGAACUGCGCCCCAAACCAAUGGGCUCGAGGGGUAUAGGGGUAAGCGGAACAGAUGGUGGAGCGGUGAAAUGCAUUGAUAUCAUCUGGAACACCGGUGGCGAAAGCGGCUUACUGGAUACUUUCUGACGCUGAGGAACGAAAGCUAGGGUAGCGAACGGGAUUAGAUACCCCAGUAGUCC
rnacentral:rRNA from 1 species